CCCUUAGAUGUUCUGGGCCGCACGCGUGCUACACUGACCGGCGCAACAAGCUUCUUUCCUUGGCCGACAGGCCUGGGCAAUCUUUGAACAUCGAUCGUGAUCGGGAUAGAUUCUUGUAAUUUUUGAUCUUAAACGAGGAAUUCCUAGUAAACGCAAGUCAUCAGCUUGCAUUGAUUACGUCCCUGCCCUUUGUACACACCGCCCGUCGCACCUACCGAUUGAAUGGUCCGGUGAAAUCUCCGGACUGGCGUGAGUCGGAGCAAUCUGACAAACACCGGAAAGUUGAUUAAACCUUACCAUUUAGAGGAAGGUGAANUCGUANCA
rnacentral:rRNA from 1 species